GAUGGUUGUCGUCAGCUCGUGCCGUGAGGUGUUGGGUUAAGUCCCGCAACGAGCGCAACCCUCAUUGUUAGUUACUACCAUUCAGUUGAGGACUCUAAUGAGACUGCCAACGACAAGUUGGAGGAAGGUGGAGAUGACGUCAAAUCAUCAUGCCCUUUAUGACCUGGGCUACAAACGUACUACAAUGGCCAAUACAAAGAGAUGCGAAGCGGUGACGUGGAGCGAACCUCAGAAAGUUGGUCUCAGUUCAGAUUGAAGUCUGCAACUCGACUUCAUGAAGGCGGAAUCGCUAGUAAUCGCGCAUCAGCCAUGGCGCGGUGAAUACGUUCCCGGACCUU
rnacentral:rRNA from 1 species